AUAACGGUCCUAAGGUAGCGAAAUUCCUUGUCGGGUAAGUUCCGACCCGCACGAAAGGCGCAACGAUCUGGGCACUGUCUCAACGAGAGACUCGGUGAAAUUAUAGUACCUGUGAAGAUGCAGGUUACCCGCGACAGGACGGAAAGACCCCGUGGAGCUUUACUGCAGCCUGAUAUUGAAUGUUGGUACAGCUUGUACAGGAUAGGUAGGAGCCUUGGAAACCGGAGCGCCAGCUUCGGUGGAGGCAUCGGUGGGAUACUACCCUGGCUGUAUUGACCUUCUAACCCGCCGCCCUUAUCGGGCGGGGAGACAGUGUCAGGUGGGCAGUUUGACUGGGGCGGUCUCCUCCUAAAGAGUAACGGAGGAGUACGAAGGUGCGCUCAGACCGGUCGGAAAUCGGUCGUUGAGUGCAAUGGCAUAAGCCUGCCUGACUGCG
rnacentral:rRNA from 1 species